rnacentral:misc_RNA from 1 species
UCCGGUUUGUCACCGGCAGUCUCCCUAGAGUGCCCUUGCGUAGCAACUAGGGACAAGGGUUGCGCUCGUUGCGGGACUUAACCCAACAUCCCACGACACGAGCUGACGACAGCCAUGCAGCACCUGUGUUCCGGCCCAUUGCUGGGAGGACUCCAUCUCUGGAACCCGUCCGGACAUGUCAAGGGUUGGUAAGGUUCUUCGCGUUGCGUCGAAUUAAACCACAUGCUCCACCGCUUGUGCGGGCCCCCGUCAAUUCCUUUGAGUUUUAAUCUUGCGACCGUACUUCCCAGGCGGGACACUUAAUGCGUUAGCUGCGGCACCCAGGGGGUCAAUACCCCGGACACCUAGUGCCCAUCGUUUACAGCGUGGACUAC